CCGCGUGAGGGAUGAAGGAUUUUGGUCUGUAAACCUCUUUUCUCAAGAAAGAAGUUCUGACGGUACUUGAGGAAUAAGCAUCGGCUAACUCCGUGCCAGCAGCCGCGGUAAUACGGGGGAUGCAAGCGUUAUCCGGAAUCAUUGGGCGUAAAGCGCCUGUAGGUUGUUUAGUAAGUCUGUUGUUAAAGACCAGGGCUUAACCCUGGGAAAGCAAUGGAAACUACUAGACUUGAGUAUGGCAGGGGUAGAGGGAAUUUCUAGUGUAGCGGUGAAAUGCGUAGAUAUUAGAAAGAACACCGGCGGCGAAAGCGCUCUACUGGACCAUUACUGACACUCAGAGGCGAAAGCUAGGGGAGCAAAAGGGAUUAGAUACCCCUGUAGUCCUAGCCGUCAACGAUGGAUACUAGAUGUUGCGCAAUUUGUGCAGUAUCUUACCUAACGCGUUAAGUAUCCCGCCUGGGGAGUACGCUCCCAAGGGUGAAACUCAAA
rnacentral:rRNA from 1 species